GAGGUCCUGACUUAGGAGAUCCCAAAAAGAAAAUAUGAUCAUCAGCGUUUCUUGAGUCCUCUCUGACAAGGAGAUGAUGCAUCUUCAUGGUGAUCUCAGCGCUUCUGAUGCCAUUUGGAAAUUUGGAAACAGCUCAGUUAUAUCUGUGAGCCAUAACUUAAUCAUCUCUGAAGGUGUUUCCAGGAGAACGCUUUAAAUUUGUUUUAUGAUUAUCAGUGGCAUUUACAAGAAAUAACCUAAGGAGAAGUCUGGCCUUUCUCAGCAACCAGGAAUCAAAUUCUUGACCUUGAAGACGAGAGAGAGAACAGAAUGCUUCUUGGUGCCACUCUAAGCUGGAUGAAAUUUGAAAACAUCCCACAGGAUAAAUAGGAGGACAUACAUGGACAUUUGCAUUGCUUUCACCAAAAUCUAGGACUAAUUUGGAGCUGGUAGCCUGGUACUCCACAGUAAGAGAAAACCAAGUCUGGAACAUACCCCCUGGAGGUGCCACCUGAGGAUGUUGUGGAAAUCCGGUCUGGAUCACUGGCAGAAGAACCA